rnacentral:rRNA from 1 species
CUCACUAGUUCACGGUGGUCCGUUCGGGACUUCGACA